AAAAAAAAAAAAAAAAAGAUUUCCUCUUAAAAACUAUUUUAACCAAAGAAAAUAAUAUGAGUGAAUCUAUGUUUCCAAGUCAGCAUGCUUUAUUCAUAGCAAAAAUGAAAUGUCACAACGGGCUACGCCCAGGAGUUAUUGUGUCUCUGAACAGGGGGCUGACCAGAGCUGAUAGAUAAUGCACAGCUGACCACAGAUCUCAGUAAUGGCGUCACCUUAACAACCUCUGCUGAUGGAUGGGCAAAAUGUACCUAUUACUUCCUUGCAUUGACAGUAUGAUUAAUACAGCUCGUUUCGUAGUGAAAACCCAAUAUUAUCUGAAAGUUGCUGCUAACAUAACAACAUCUUUGUAAAAACUUGACCGUUUGUUAAAUGUGAUGCCUGUUUCUCAUCGCGAAUGAGCUGGAUUUGAACCAGAUGUCACUUUCACUUGUAGGUUUUGCCUUAAUCAUGCAGUAUCGUCCUCUUUGUUUUGCACACUCAGAACACCGCAGUCCUUUCCUCCUAUUUUGGCAACGUCAACUCACAUGUUGUCUGUUGUGAAAGGACUCGACAUCACCAAGAGGUGGAGGGCACUAAGAAGGCAGCACGAAACGGAGCCCGCCUCGAAGGCAUAGACGAGCCUCUCAUCACUCCUAAUGUCUCAUCACCGCGCUGACUGGCGUGCCUGAGGACAGAAGACAGCGUGACAGAGGCAGUGGCAGACAUGCACGUUGACUUGGUGGUGCGGCAGGUCUGGGUGGAUCUUCGGAGGUCGUGACCCUUCCGCACCAUGAGCAGGACAAACAGGACUGAGGAGGUCCAACGACACAAGGAAUGUGCCCUUUGUUUUGCUUCUGCUACACCUUACCUUAGAAUCCACGCAAGGAACCUUGAUGCUGGGGGGGAAAAAGAGACGAACCUUCUGGGAAGCUUCAGCUCAUUGUCCUGCUGUACCAACCAGUUGCACCGGGGCUUUAAUCAUCCUCGCAGAGAAAGGCAGCAGAAUUCAUGGAUCCAUCGAUUAAGGCCAGUCGUCAAGGUCCUGAAGAAGCUCCAGACCGUCACACCACCUCCACCCUUUUGACUGUCGAUUUAUUUGGACCGUAAUGAAGACGCGACGGGCCCCGGGCUGUAACCGACGGCGACAGGGUGACACUGAUGAAUGGCUGAAGGUGCGUUCUCUACAGUUGGAGGGAAAGGGAGGACUGUCAUUUUGCAACGCCCGCGCUCAGUGUGCCUGUGUGAGACUACCUCGCCGACCUGUUAGAUCACACAGUGGGAGUGUAAACAGGAUAUUUAUGGAACAUGUGUAACUAUUACUCACACAAAGGUUUCUAGAUCUGAUUUAUUAUCACCUUUAUCUUUAUCAUCAUUACCAGAAUAAUGGGGGCUCCAUCAACAAAUUUCAGAAUAAAAUUUCCUCACAUUAAUAAUAAUGAUCAGCAACUUUAUCAUCGUUAUAGUCCUAUACAUCAUUGCGUAAUCAGCAUCGCCUUGGUAUUUACAUUAACAAUUCUCAACCCUAAUUAACAUCAUUGCCAUUGUUAUUAUCAUUAUUACCAUUUUAUCAUCUAAGUCCCAACAUAAUUGUGCUGCAUUAUGCCAGUAUUAUUCACUUUUAUAUUUAUAUUUUUCAUUACUGCAAUUAAAUCAUCCAAAUCACCUUUGUGAUCAUUUUAAUAUAAUCACUUCAAAAUACUAUCAAUCUCAGUUUGAUUGACAGUAUUUUAGAAAAUGUGAUUUUGUGUGAUGACACAUAGUUUUGUUAGCUCUAGCAUUAGCAUCACACUGGUAUUGAGAAUAUUCCAGCUAGCGUCAAUCAAAGUGCAUCUCUUAUGAAGUACCCAAUCAUCAUACCUUCAAAAUCAGAAUUAAUUAAAUGGUGCAUCCACUCUGUUGUCCGGGAUCUGUUAGGAUAAAUCUUGGAGUAGUUAAGUAGCUACCACCAUGUGGUCAGGAGCAACCAAACCACAGAACUGCACAGAAUGAUACAAAGGAUACAAUGCGAUCCUCAAUUAAACUCGAAUAGAACCGACAGCCGAUUUAAGGAAUGGAAAGAUAUGGGUUUGGCUCCACAUUUUAGUUUGAUUGACUUUAAAAACCUCUAAAUAUUUAAAAGAUCACGGGUUAAGAAAUCAGGACUUCUACAGAUUAUUUGCUUUACCUUUUCAGUUUUAAGAAAAUUGUAGACAGUGCAUCCACUUUUAUUGUAAU